GCCAGCUGCCAUAUCACUCUGCAACUCCCAGCUGGCAGCCCACUGAAGCUCAGCAGGUGUGAGCCUGGUCAGUACCUGGAUGGGAGGCCUCCUGGGAAAGCUAAGGCUGCUUCUGGAA
rfam:Lepisosteus oculatus linkage group LG2, whole genome shotgun sequence.